GGGUUGUGAGGUUAAGCGACUAAGCGUACACGGUGGAUGCCCUGGCAGUCAGAGGCGAUGAAGGACGUGCUAAUCUGCGAAAAGCGUCGGUAAGGUGAUAUGAACCGUUAUAACCGGCGAUGUCCGAAUGGGGAAACCCAGUGCAAUUCGUUGCACUAUCGUUAACUGAAUACAUAGGUUAACGAGGCGAACCGGGGGAACUGAAACAUCUAAGUACCCCGAGGAAAAGAAAUCAACCGAGAUUCCCCCAGUAGCGGCGAGCGAACGGGGAGCAGCCCAGAGUCUGAAUCAGCUUGUGUGUUAGUGGAACGGUCUGGAAAGUCCGACGGUACAGGGUGAUAGUCCCGUACACCAAAAUGCACAGGCUGUGAACUCGAAGAGUAGGGCGGGACACGUGGUAUCCUGUCUGAAUAUGGGGGGACCAUCCUCCAAGGCUAAAUACUCCUGACUGACCGAUAGUGAACCAGUACCGUGAGGGAAAGGCGAAAAGAACCCCGGCGAGGGGAGUGAAAAAGAACCUGAAACCGUGUACGUACAAGCAGUGGGAGCACCUUCGGGUGUGACUGCGUACCUUUUGUAUAAUGGGUCAGCGACUUAUAUUCUGUAGCAAGGUUAACCGUAUAGGGGAGCCGCAGGGAAACCGAGUCUUAACUGGGCGUUAAGUUGCAGGGUAUAGACCCGAAACCCGGUGAUCUAGCCAUGGGCAGGUUGAAGGUUGGGUAACACUAACUGGAGGACCGAACCGACUAAUGUUGAAAAAUUAGCGGAUGACUUGUGGCUGGGGGUGAAAGGCCAAUCAAACCGGGAGAUAGCUGGUUCUCCCCGAAAGCUAUUUAGGUAGCGCCUCGUGAACUCAUCUUCGGGGGUAGAGCACUGUUUCGGCUAGGGGGUCAUCCCGACUUACCAACCCGAUGCAAACUACGAAUACCGAAGAAUGUUAUCACGGGAGACACACGGCGGGUGCUAACGUCCGUCGUGAAGAGGGAAACAACCCAGACCGCCAGCUAAGGUCCCAAAGUCAUGGUUAAGUGGGAAACGAUGUGGGAAGGCACAGACAGCCAGGAUGUUGGCUUAGAAGCAGCCAUCAUUUAAAGAAAGCGUAAUAGCUCACUGGUCGAGUCGGCCUGCGCGGAAGAUGUAACGGGGCUAAACCAUGCACCGAAGCUGCGGCAGCGACACUAUGUGUUGUUGGGUAGGGGAGCGUUCUGUAAGCCUGCGAAGGUGUGCUGUGAGGCAUGCUGGAGGUAUCAGAAGUGCGAAUGCUGACAUAAGUAACGAUAAAGCGGGUGAAAAGCCCGCUCGCCGGAAGACCAAGGGUUCCUGUCCAACGUUAAUCGGGGCAGGGUGAGUCGACCCCUAAGGCGAGGCCGAAAGGCGUAGUCGAUGGGAAACAGGUUAAUAUUCCUGUACUUGGUGUUACUGCGAAGGGGGGACGGAGAAGGCUAUGUUAGCCGGGCGACGGUUGUCCCGGUUUAAGCAUGUAGGCUGAUUGUCCAGGCAAAUCCGGAUAAUCAAGGCUGAGGUGUGAUGACGAGGCACUACGGUGCUGAAGUAACAAAUGCCCUGCUUCCAGGAAAAGCCUCUAAGC
rnacentral:rRNA from 1 species